rnacentral:rRNA from 1 species
GAUGGACUCGCGUCUGAUUAGAUAGUUGGUGGGGUAACGGCCUACCAAGUCGACGAUCAGUAGCCGGACUGAGAGGUUGAACGGCCACAUUGGGACUGAGACACGGCCCAGACUCCUACGGGAGGCAGCAGUGGGGAAUAUUGCACAAUGGGCGAAAGCCUGAUGCAGCAACGCCGCGUGAAGGAAGACGGUUUUCGGAUUGUAAACUUCUGUUCUUAGUGAAGAAUAAUGACGGUAACUAAGGAGCAAGCCACGGCUAACUACGUGCCAGCAGCCGCGGUAAUACGUAGGUGGCAAGCGUUGUCCGGAAUUACUGGGUGUAAAGGGAGCGUAGGCGGGAAGCCAAGUCAGCUGUGAAAACUACGGGCUUAACCUGUAGACUGCAGUUGAAACUGGCUUUCUUGAGUGUAGUAGAGGUUGGCGGAAUUCCGAGUGUAGCGGUGAAAUGCGUAGAUAUUCGGAGGAACACCGGUGGCGAAGGCGGCCAACUGGGCUUUAACUGACGCUGAGGCUCGAAAGUGUGGGGAGCAAACAGGAUUAGAUACCCUGGUAGUCCACACUGUAAACGAUGAUAACUAGGUGUGGGGGGUCUGACCCCUUCC